rnacentral:rRNA from 1 species
UACAGAGGUGUCAAACGUUGUCCGGAAUUACUGGGCGUAAAGGGCGCGUAGGCGGCCUUAUAAGUCAGAUGUGAAAGCUCUGGGCUCAACCCAGGAAUUGCAUCUGAUACUGUAGGGCUUGAGUUCGGUAGAGGAGGGCGGAAUUCCAGGUGUAGCGGUGAAAUGCGUAGAUAUCUGGAGGAACACCCGUGGCGAAGGCGGCUCUCUGGCCCGAAACUGACGCUGAGGUGCGAAAGCUAGGGUAGCAAACAGG